rnacentral:rRNA from 1 species
UGGGGAAUUUUGGACAAUGGGCGAAAGCCUGAUCCAGCAAUGCCGCGUGUGUGAAGAAGGCCUUCGGGUUGUAAAGCACUUUUGUCCGGAAAGAAAUCCUCUGGGUUAAUACCUCGGGGGGAUGACGGUACCGGAAGAAUAAGCACCGGCUAACUACGUGCCAGCAGCCGCGGUAAUACGUAGGGUGCAAGCGUUAAUCGGAAUUACUGGGCGUAAAGCGUGCGCAGGCGGUUUUGUAAGACGGAUGUGAAAUCCCCGGGCUUAACCUGGGAACUGCAUUCGUGACUGCAAGGCUAGAGUAUGGCAGAGGGGGGUAGAAUUCCACGUGUAGCAGUGAAAUGCGUAGAGAUGUGGAGGAAUACCGAUGGCGAAGGCAGCCCCCUGGGCCAAUACUGACGCUCAUGCACGAAAGCGUGGGGGAGCAAACAGGAUUCAGGAUACCCUGGUAGUCCACGCCCUAAACGAUGUCAACUAGUUGUUGGGGAUUCAUUUCCUUAGUAACGUAGCUAACGCGUGAAGUUGACCGCCUGGGGAGUACGGUCGCAAGAUUAAAACUCAAGGAAUUGACGGGGUCAUAGCUGUUUCC